rnacentral:rRNA from 1 species
CGCGGGAUUGGGGCACGGGGGGACGGUGCGCAGCAGGCGCGAAACCUUUACAAUGCACGCAAGUGUGAUAAGGGGAACCCUAGUGCUAUACUUAUGGUAUGGCUUUUCUCAUGUGUAAAUAGCAUGGGGAAUAAGUGGUGGGUAAGACGGGUGCCAGCCGCCGCGGUAACACCUGCGCCACAAGUGGCAACCAUGAUUAUUGGGCCUAAAGCGUUCGUAGCUGGUUGAAUAAAUUCUUUGUGAAAUUGUGUAGCUAAACUAUACGGCGUGCAGGGAAGACUGUUCGACUAGGGACCGGGAGAUGUUAGAGGUAUUUUUGGGGGAACGGUAAAAUGUUAUAAUCCCAAAAAGACCACCUGUUGCGAAGGCUUCUAACAAGAACGGAUCUGACAGUGAGGGACGAAGGCCAGGGGAGCAAAUCGGAUUAGAUACCCGAGUAGUCCUGGCAGUAAACGUUGCGAGCUAGGUGUUGCAUAAUCUAUGUGGUUGUGCAGUAUCGAAGCGAAGGUGAUAAGCUCGCCGCCUGGGAAGUACGGUCGCAAGGCUGAAACUUAAAGGAAUUGGCGGGGGAGCACUACCAGGGGUGCGACGUGCGGUUUAAUCUAACUAUACACAGAGAACCUCACCAAAGGCGACGGCAGGAUGAAAGUCAGUCUAAUGGGCUUACUGGACGAGCCGAGAGGUAGUGCAUGGCCGCCGUCAGCUCGUGCCGUGAGGUGUCCUCUUAAGUGAGGUAACGAGCAAGACCUGUACUCACAAUUGCUAACGAACUCAGUGAUCGAGCACAUUGUGAGGACUGCCUUGGAAACAAGGAGGAAGGUGCAGGCAACGGUAGGUCUGUAUGCUCCGAAUCUUUUGGGCUACACGCGCGUAACAAUGGUAGGGACAAUGGGUCACAACUCCGAAAGGAGAAGUUAAUCCUCGAAACCCUAUCUUAGUUUAGAUUGAGGCUUGCAACUCAGCCUCAUGACAACGGAAUCCCUAGUAAUCAGACGUCAUCAGCGUCUGGUGAAUAUGUCCCUGCUCCUUGCACGAGUUCACCGAAUCACUAGU